UGGGGAAUAUUGCACAAUGGGGGAAACCCUGAUGCAGCGACGCCGCGUGAGCGAUGAAGGCUUUCGAGUCGUAAAGCUCUGUCCUAUGGGAAGAUAAUGACGGUACCAUAGAAGAAAGCCCCGGCUAAUUACGUGCCAGCAGCCGCGGUAAUACGUAAGGGGCGAGCGUUGUCCGGAAUUAUUGGGCGUAAAGAGUGCGUAGGCGGCAAAUUAAGUCAGAUGUGAAAACUAAGGGCUCAACCCAUAGAUUGCAUCUGAAACUGAUAUGCUUGAGUCAAGGAGAGGAAAGUGGAAUUCCUAGUGUAGCGGUGGAAUGCGUAGAUAUUAGGAGGAAUACCGGUGGCGAAGGCGGCUUACUGGACGAAAACUGACGUUGAGGCUCGAAGGCGUGGGGAGCAAACAGG
rnacentral:rRNA from 1 species